UACGUAGGGGGCUAGCGUUGUCCGGAAUCAUUGGGCGUAAAGCGCGUGUAGGCGGCCCGGUAAGUCCGCUGUGAAAGUCGGGGGCUCAACCCUCGAAAGCCGGUGGAUACUGUCGGGCUAGAGUACGGAAGAGGCGAGUGGAAUUCCUGGUGUAGCGGUGAAAUGCGCAGAUAUCAGGAGGAACACCCAUUGCGAAGGCAGCUCGCUGGGACGUUACUGACGCUGAGACGCGAAAUCGUCGGGAGCAAACAGG
rnacentral:rRNA from 1 species